rnacentral:rRNA from 1 species
AGUGAACGCUGGCGGUAGGCCUAACACAUGCAAGUCGAACGGCAGCACAGUAAGAGCUUGCUCUUACGGGUGGCGAGUGGCGGACGGGUGAGGAAUACAUCGGAAUCUACUUUUUCGUGGGGGAUCACGUAGGGAAACUUACGCUAAUACCGCAUACGACCUACGGGUGAAAGCAGGGGAUCUUCGGACCUUGCGCGAUUGAAUGAGCCGAUGUCGGAUUAGCUAGUUGGCGGGGUAAAGGCCCACCAAGGCGACGAUCCGUAGCUGGUCUGAGAGGAUGAUCAGCCGCACGAGAACGGGGACACGGUCCAGACUCCUACGGGAGGCAGCAGUGGGGAAUAUUGGACAAUGGGCGCAAGCCUGAUCCAGCCAUACCGCGUGGGUGAAGAAGGCCUUCGGGUUGUAAAGCCCUUUUGUUGGGAAAGAAAAGCAGCAGGUUAAUACCCCGCUGUUCUGACGGUACCCAAAGAAUAAGCACCGGCUAACUUCGUG